AACAGGAUUAGAUACCCUGGUAGUCCACGCUGUAAACGAUGUCGACUUGGAGGUUGUUCCCUUGAGGAGUGGCUUCCGGAGCUAACGCGUUAAGUCGACCGCCUGGGGAGUACGGCCGCAAGGUUAAAACUCAAAUGAAUUGACGGGGGCCCGCACAAGCGGUGGAGCAUGUGGUUUAAUUCGAUGCAACGCGAAGGACCUUACCUACUCUUGACAUCCAGAGAAUUUAGCAGAGAUGCUUUAGUGCCUUCGGGAACUCUGAGACAGGUGCUGCAUGGCUGUCGUCAGCUCGUGUUGUGAAAUGUUGGGUUAAGUCCCGCAACGAGCGCAACCCUUAUCCUUUGUUGCCAGCGGUUCGGCCGGGAACUCAAAGGAGACUGCCAGUGAUAAACUGGAGGAAGGUGGGGAUGACGUCAAGUCAUCAUGGCCCUUACGAGUAGGGCUACACACGUGCUACAAUGGCAUAUACAAAGAGAAGCGACCUCGCGAGAGUAAGCGGACCUCAUAAAGUAUGUCGUAGUCCGGAUUGGAGUCUGCAACUCGACUCCAUGAAGUCGGAAUCGCUAGUAAUCGUGGAUCAGAAUGCCACGGUGAAUACGUUCCCGGGCCUUGUACACACCGCCCGUCACACCAUGGGAGUGGGUUGCAAAAGAAGUAGGUAGCUUAACCUUCGGGAGGGCGCUUACCACUUUGUGAUUCAUGACUGGGGUGAAGUCGUAACAAGGUAACC
rnacentral:rRNA from 1 species